CGAACGGGUGAGUAACACGUGGGCAAUCUGCCCUGCACUCUGGGACAAGCCCUGGAAACGGGGUCUAAUACCGGAUAUGACCGUCUUCCGCAUGGUGGAUGGUGUAAAGCUCCGGCGGUGCAGGAUGAGCCCGCGGCCUAUCAGCUUGUUGGUGGGGUGAUGGCCUACCAAGGCGACGACGGGUAGCCGGCCUGAGAGGGCGACCGGCCACACUGGGACUGAGACACGGCCCAGACUCCUACGGGAGGCAGCAGUGGGGAAUAUUGCACAAUGGGCGAAAGCCUGAUGCAGCGACGCCGCGUGAGGGAUGACGGCCUUCGGGUUGUAAACCUCUUUCAGCAGGGAAGAAGCGAGAGUGACGGUACCUGCAGAAGAAGCACCGGCUAACUACGUGCCAGCAGCCGCGGUAAUACGUAGGGUGCGAGCGUUGUCCGGAAUUAUUGGGCGUAAAGAGCUCGUAGGCGGCUUGUCGCGUCGGAUGUGAAAGCCCGGGGCUUAACUCCGGGUCUGCAUUCGAUACGGGCAGGCUAGAGUUCGGUAGGGGAGAUCGGAAUUCCUGGUGUAGCGGUGAAAUGCGCAGAUAUCAGGAGGAACACCGGUGGCGAAGGCGGAUCUCUGGGCCGAUACUGACGCUGAGGAGC
rnacentral:rRNA from 1 species